GCACUUUCUAAGGAUUAAUUGAAUCUGGAACCAUAUUUGAAGAAUGAGUUUCUUUCUUAAAGCUAUCUUGGGACAGAAAAUAUGAAGGGAUUGUAUUAAAAAAUUGGAGCCAGUGAAGGAUGACAUCGUUAAGGAUUCUAGUUUCAGAGCAAAUGAGAUGAGUCAUUUUUACAUGGAUCUACAGAGAGUGGGCAUAUUUAGAUCCAUGAUUGAAGGUUAACACCAGUGCACUGUCACUCAUGAAAAGGCAAUUUGGGUAAAAUGCGAUUUGAGAAUGAGGAGGUGAACACAGUCCUUGAGACAAAGAAAGAUAACCUGCUGGUUCGAAUGGCUUUUUAACAGCUUGUUGAAUGUUAUUAGACAAUAUUAGACAAUAAUAAGAAUUCGCCCGUUCUUUGAAAUGAAGUGCUACAAAAGAAUAUGAAUUCAGCUGUUAUCAUUCUUCUGCCUUUGAACUGCCCAAUUAAGUUAAAUCACUGACCUGCUAAAUUAAAGGGUACAGUUUCCUGGAAAAAGGUACCUUUUAAGUCAUGGUAGAAUGGCAAGGUAUGCCAUUUAGCUUUAUAUAUGUACACAAAGGGUAGGCUUAACGGGUAUGAUAGUCUCACAAUCACAUCUCAAUGUAUCGUAUGUGUAUUAUAACUAUUCAGUUA
rnacentral:misc_RNA from 1 species